rnacentral:lncRNA from 1 species
GUUUCUAGGUAACAUUUCAAGUCUGAUUAUGAAUAAAUGCUACAAAAUUGAUCUGUAAUGGGAAAUACUGUAAUGUCAGAAAGCAUUAUUUAUAUGCUUAGUGUGACUGAAAGCAUUAAUUGCUAGGAGCCAAAAUCUGUCCAAGCAAAACACGAACACACAUGUUGUACCUCUUGUCUCUUACUGUAGGUUUUCAAAUGAAUUCGAGUGUAACAAAAGCGUAGUUAGAAAGCCAGCAACACCUGGAGGUUUUCUUCACCCGCUCGGGCGAUCGUAGUCGCUGCUUGUUACAAAGGCGGAUCGUGUCUGCUCAGAAGUGCCCAGCAAACCGUCUACACAGCUACUUGUUAGCAGCUCAGCGAGAACACCUCUCAGACUGACGUGAUCAUGCUGCAAGGCCCUGUGGCACCCCGGAUUCCCGGCCCCCAAACCCUGAGCCUCUUCCAGAGCCUGCGUGUGCCCGCGGGUGGAUCUGCCAAAGGGUAGACAAAGCCACAGACGUGCACCAUCCAGGCCCAAAGGAUCCGAGGAGCAGCUGGCGACUCAGUGUGAACAUGCAGCUGCGGCAUCCACAACGUGACCAUGUGGCCCCUUGGUAGCAAGAAACAUGGUGGAGGGGCCCAUGGACCAUUUUCCAUUCUAACUGCCACCUGGGGCCCACAAGUAUCAGGGGUGAGCCAGCAACGUGCUGAGACAGCCAAGACUGUCCCAGGAAAACUGGAACAUGGGGUCCCCUAUUUAACACCGGUAGAUCCAGGAGACACAUCCAGGCCUAAUGGAGGACCCCAGCCCCUGAUCAGCCACAAUGUUGGCUCCAAGAUAAAACGUUCUAGGUGAAACUACCACCAAUAUUACUACUAUUUAAAAAAUUUGUGGCAAAGAAUGGUGGGAUCAGAAACUCAGCACCAGGGGACGCCAUGCAGAGUUGGUGCAUGGAAAGAUGCAACCAAAGUGGCUGGACUGAGUUCUACUUCUGCUGCAAUAGACCGCUGUGAUCUUGGCAACCACCUCCUGGAGGGCCUGUUCUCACAGCACAGUGGGGACAGUGGUCGUGAUGAAGGCCACCUCCUCCUGGAGGGCCUGUUCUCACGGCACAGUGGGGACAGUGGUCGUGAUGAAGGCCACCUCCUCCUGGAGGGCCUGUUCUCACGGCACAGUGGGGACAGUGGUCGUGAUGAAGGCCACCUCCUCCUGGAGGGCCUGUUCUCACGGCACAGUGGGGACAGUGGUCGUGAUGAAGGCCACCUCCUCCUGGAGGGCCUGUUCUCACGGCACAGUGGGCAUUGUAGUCAUGAUAAUGAUUCUCUCUUCACAGGUGUUUUGCAGACAAUCACAUGCAAGUUCUUUAGGGACUCAAGAGUGUGACAUUAGUGAUUUCUCUGUGUUGUCCCUACUGCGAGUCAUAUGCCAGAGGUCAGACAGAUCAAUGCCUAUAAAACCAGGCUGCUGGUUGAUAGUCCUUCUGAGUUUUAGAACUAUUGUGUUAACUAGUUUUAAAACCUCACAAUGGAUCUACUAUGACGUGAAACUGAAUGGAUUAAAUGACAAAGGUGUAGCACUUAGCAGUGUAUUAAUCAUGGUGACACUAUUCCUAAGCUAUUUAUAUGUGACUGGGAUUUGGAACUAAAUACAAAAAAAGCAGAUUGAGAGUCCCCAAACAUUCAGUAAACAUUCAGGGUCCCCACUGUAAAGGUCACUGGGGGUCAUGUUUCCAGCAGAGGGAGACUGAGGCCCAGAGAGAUAAGCGGUGUUUCCGUCACAGGCCUGGGGUGGAGGCAGAAGCAGAUGGCUUCCUCGAGUCCAGCUCAGCAUCCUCCUCUGAGGACAGCAACAGGAGCGCCUUUUCCGGGAGAGAAUGAGGAUGAACUAAGGAACGCGCAGCGCUUUGUGGUCAGCUGACAGGCGCAGUUCCAAGUACAGAGGAUUCGCGCUGAAGCUGGCUUGUCGGCCUUGAGGCCCCUCCAGAAGUCUUCGGGAGGCCCGUUGGCUUGCUGGUGGCUCGACCCACAAGGACAAAGACAGAAGACUGGGGGUACAAGCAACAACAUCAAAAUGCGCCAGCUCGGGGCGGCCAAAGAGAGCGGCACUGAGGUCCCAGCGAUCUGCCGCAGGUGGCUCCUCGGCGGGCUCAGGUGGAAGGAAGCCGGGUGGUGACAACGCAGGAGGGACCAACCUUCUCCAAACAGAGAGGCCACGGGACCUGGGGAAAGCCGCCAUGCGUGUGGAGGCUGCACCAACUGGUCACCAUGGACCCCACCAGGGGAAGUGAGCAAGUCAUGCGCAGGCCGCAGUGCCCAGGUUAGACCACGGCACCUGCUCCAGGUCACCGUGUUUCGGCGGCAGAGGGCUCCAGCUUCAACGGGCCUCGAAUCAAAUCCGCGCUCCGCCACUCACGAACUGAGUUCCCUUGGGCAACUGACCUUCCCUGUGCCUCGAUUCACACAACAAUAUAAUGUUCAUAACUCUAGUACCUACCUCAUAGGCUGACGUGAGGAUUAAGUGAUGAUGAGCAUUUAAUGCAAGAUUUCGUUUAAUAUUUUAACAGUUCUCAGACAUAGACAGUCUUCGUUAAACAUCGGCUAUUGUUAAUAUUAUUGUGUCCAUCUUAUCCUUGUGUCUUAUGGUAAAAAGCCAGGUACUUUUGUAUUAACUUGGAAGAGAAAACUCACUUAGUAGAGAUAGUUAUUGUAUCUCUUAUCUCUGCUCUUAGAUUGCAGUCUGUUUAAGGACAGUGGCUGUGUCUUAAUUUUUGUUUGUUGACUAGAAAUGAGGUCGCACUUGUGAUAAAUCUGGAGGUUGAACAGAAC